rnacentral:misc_RNA from 1 species
AACUCGGUCAUUCGACCUAGAGUGGCUAGUCAAGGGAGACGCUAACUUAAACACUUUACUUAAAAGCACGUCUGCUUGUAACUCUCCGGAACAACUUGCCAAAAUCCUCGGAGAAUGUCCAACAAAUAAUUCCGUCGUAUUACUUGAAGAGAACGUCACCGGUACAAGUAACAACGGAUGUUGCACAAGCUGUAAGCAAUCACUUGUUAACCAUUUACGAGCACCAAAAGCGAUCGAAUCCCUCUUUCAAGAUCUCCAAAAAUUCAUGUUCUUCUUCGAACGUGUGGCUGAAUUGUAUAUCCAGCAGCGCAAAAACAAUCCGGAUGACGCUAAAAACUUUUUCCGUUUUCUUUUGAGCUCCGGUUGCCGUCUCCAACUUUCGUGGCGCUUUCUGACUGUCGUCGUACGCACAGUCUUGUCGACUGGUGGAUCCAAACCGGGUACUGCUAUCAUUGACGAGCUGCUCUUGAAUAUUGACUGCAAUCGACCGACUCGCGAACUCAACGUCAAUGCAAACAAUUUACUUCUAGCGUUACUCGUUUGUUUUGACCAAGAUAUCCAGAACACCCAGGAGGAGGAAGUUGUCGAAGAUUUAAUUCAAGCCGCGAUGACGGGUCAUUGGAAUGUUAAGCGGAUUCGAAAACUAGGACUCAUCCGACGCCAACUCGCCGCGAAUGAACAAAUUGGACCUGAAAUGGAGAACAUUAUCACCAAAUGGUCUCAUUGGCUGAAAAAUCAAACUGAUCAAUCCAUCACAGAUCCUCUUCUCUUUUUUAUCCUGCGCUUCUGUUCCGCCGAAGGAGAUGAAACGCGACUCGGCAACAUUUUCCGCCAUCCAGUCAUUGCCAAUGAACUUUGUCAUCACACAGUAAUCAACAAUUACAUCAAAACCUUAUCUCCGCUAUCGCUGGGGUUCACGCUGCAAUCUGCAGACCUUACAGCUAACCCUUUUAAUGAGCGCUUGUUGGAAGGUAAUUGCAUCGAUUCUGGAGCCUUUCAACAUUAUCCUCUGCUAGUGAAUCUCCAACCCGAUUGGGCUCCUUUCAUCGCUCGAUUAGCUUAUCACGCGUUUGACAUCUUUGCAGCUCGUAACAUAGGCUUUUUACGAGAAAUGGCUUCCAAUCUCGAUGCUGCAGCCCAGUUCAUCUUGCCUGGCAUCGAAAAUCAUCCUUACUUAUCCAGUUUUGAAAGAGAAUCAGAUCAUUGGUAUGUUUGCAGUUGUGGAGCACUGUGUUGCCUCGGAAAUUGUGGAAAUCCUGUCGCAGAAUCUAUUUGUCCCAGCUGUCGUGUUGCACUCGGCCGCGACCAUAAACGUCGUCGUGGCGUUAGAAAAGCAACCGCCCAAGAUUUCCAGCCACCCAGAGGCAUCUUCGUUACCCGCCAGCCUUCUAAAGAAUCAACUUCUGCCGUGAGAAACUGUUCUCCAGUCGUCAGUCGAUUCGCCCUCUUGCUAAAUUCACUAGCACUGAUGAACGCUGCAUUGAAUCCACAGAUAACUCAUCAGGUUAUUUCUAGAUUUCUUCAAACUUUACCUUCAACUGAACGCCAGCAGAACGAGGAUCGUCGUUCGUUUAUUCAACUCUUUUCGAAUCAUACUGUCGUUCAUCUCGAUGUUCUUUGUCAACUACUGGUGACCUCUAGACCGAAUCUUACUAUGACGGACAAGUUCCGCAUUGGACAUUUGUUGCUCCACAAAUUGUUGGAUUCACAAAAUACCUCAUUCUUUGCUCAAAAGGACGCGUUCGGAAAUGGACCACAGGCAAGGGAAGCAUUCGAACAAGGAUUAGCUGAACUGUUGAACCAGCAGUUAAAUUUGGCGGAAGAGCUCGACCACAUCACCGGACAAUCGAGCGAAGCAUCAAAGGCAUUCCGUCAAUCCUUAUCGGAAAAUGAAACCUCGCACUGGGCUUACGCUAGAAGAGUUUUUGCUAAUCGAGAGUCCGUCCAACUAGAACUGGCAAGAAAUGGCCAAUUACGCCUGGAUUAUCCUUUCCUGGAUUUUGUGCUUGACGAAAACAAUGGAAUGCGCAAAUUGAAUGCGUUGCAACAUCUCGGCGAAGCUAUGCGUUUUAUCGCUCUUGUUCGCACUGUUUUAUCAGGCAAAUUAACACAAGAAGAAGCUUACCAAAUGUCUAUUGCUCAAGGAUUGGAGAAAAUGGCCGAAAUCGUCAUGGAGAAAGGAAUUAUUUUGGAUCGGGGACGAACGGUCACCUCCCGAGAUCACGUGAUGAAGCUCUAUGACGGCUUUAAGCAGUUGUGGGAUCGAUUUAGUCAGUUGGAGAAUGCAGCGAAGAAAACUUUCUUGGAUUAUUUUGAAUGUCAACAAGUCGCCAUCAACGUCAGGCCAAAGACAGUGUUGGAUCAGUCAGCUCCACUGAUCCUCAUUUGCGCCGGUACGGAACCGCCAGAGGCCACAUUCAGUUGUCAAUUAUUGGAUCACGCCGUGGAAGCCGCAUCAUCCAUCGCUCGAACAAACUUCAUCCAGCCUCAUUGCCGGAAGGACUCUGGCCGCAUCCGGCUCUCUUGUUCCAGCGCUGCAGCCUUGGCUGACUUUGACGAGUCCUUGUACGCUCACGUGUCCACCGAAGAGGUCGACCGUUUUAUCCGCGAUCACGUCAUUGAUCUCUCCACCCUCCCGCUAGCAGAAUCAUUUGCCAGGGCUGCCAUAUUAGGAUCAGUUGGCAGUACCAUCGCAGAAGAAUUAUCUCUUGAAGUAAUUCCCGAAUUUAAAUUUAAAGAUGAUGUAGAAUCGGUAAAUUUUAUGGUGAUCCUGGAGAGACGAUCUUUAGCCUGGCAGCCGUCUCCGAUUCCAUCCAAAAUUCAGGAACUUAUUCUAGCCGAUUUGGAGAAAAACCGGAGCUUAGCUGAGGCAAGAUCUAUCCUCAUUUCAGCCAUCACCCACCUGUAUUCUAAUACUGAGCCACUCAUCAUUACUAAGAUUCGAAAUAACUACAUAUCGGACGUGUUGGAAGAAAUGCUGAAGGCCAAGAUCUUAACCGAGCUUCACAUUUCGGAAGGAACGAAAUUAGCAUUCACUCACCAUUUGAAACUGGAAGUUCGUCACGCGUUUGGUUUACUCAAAGCUAUUACGUUUCGUAUGAAAGGUGUCGACGGCCGCGUCCCGGAUGGAUGGACUACGAAGCUGUCGGAAACCUUGGCUCAGGAGACGAGGAAGAAAUUGCUUGCAGAACCAGGAGGUGGAAUACUGGAGACUUUGUUAUUAUUGGUCGACAAUGUUGCCUCCGAGUCCGUUCAAGCUUCGCUUAUGCCGGACGAAUCAUUAUUGAUCUCCAUCCGAGCAGUUGAAGGUGAUGACGAAUGGAAUGGAAUUCCUGCAGAACUUAAAAUGAAACAUCUCGAUCACGUACUCCGGAUUGCGGAAUCCCUUCCCAAAACAUAGAUGCCCGAUUCAUCUCCAGAUUAAGCAAGAUGUGUCCCAUUAUACUUGCAUAUCAAAUAGGAUUCAUAAUUAACAGUGUUACUUGUUAUUACCUACUAAUAAAUCAAUUCUGAGUUAACACCAAGUUAAUGAUUCUGCUUAACAUCUAAAUAGGUCAGAAUUGCAAGAUUUUUUUUCUUCUAUUGUUCCGUUGUGUGUGACGUCAUGUUGCUGUCGACUUACGUCGUGUGUUGCUGUGGGAGUUUUGGCCUUGCUGAAAGCGGCGCUAGGUGGAGAUAUAGCAGUAACCGAAACGUUCUCUCUAACUUGAAGAUGUGCUGUUAUUUACUUGACUCAGUUAGGAAGAACAGGGAUGAAAGGAAUCGACCCGGAAUAAAAGCCGGCAGAAGAAAGUAUUCUUAGUGAUCAUUUACAAUGUUUAAGUCAUUUAACUUUGCACCAACAAUUCGAACCCAAAUUUUAAGCUGUAUGAACUCAGAAAGUACGUCAUUACCGGCAGAUUGAAACAUCAGGUAUUUGCAUUGAAUAGAAGCGUAAAUCAAUCAAGGUCCCAUUAUCAGUAGGUGGUUCUUGCGUCACUGACCUGCAAAAACAGGCGCGAAUCCAUUUCAAUGUUACAGUGAAAGCCCAAAAUUAUACGCCGGAGGAUAUUCGUGCAUACAGUCUACAAAGCUAAUAUGAUAACUUUUUUUAUUGCGUAUUCGUCUGAAAUCUCUGCUACAGCUUUCUUUCUUCCAAUGGCGCAUUUUGGGCAUUCCCCCAAAAGCAAUUUCAUUAUUCCGUGGGCCUUAUUUAAAAAAAUUCCCCUUUUUUCGUGAUAUCGCUCACGUACGAAGUUGGAGAGAUUCGCUCGCAGCGAAAUGUUCCCGCAUUCCCUUCAAGUCUCAGCAGCCGUUCGGUUCAGUCAGUUCAGUCGGUUCGUCACGUCAACACUUGUAAUAUGAAUUUGCAUACCAACCAAACAAGCCGAGAGUACGAGAAGACAAAAUUGUUUAGCGGCGGCAACUGGUUGAUGCAAGUCUUGGCUAAAUUCGCCGUUUGGAAAGUGGAUAACUCACAGUCACCAUCUAGAACAACAAAGUCAGUUAGGAAACGCUGUCGUUCUCAUUCACUUUCCCAUAGGUCCUUCACGGGUCUAUUUUGAAUCAGGACCGACAAUACAAGAUUUACCGACGGCCGGUACAUUGAGCUUUCUUCAUUUUUUUUUAAAUGCCAUAAUGGUUUACUAUCGAUAUGUUUGCUCUUAAGUGAAACCAAACUUACUUUAUUCCUGUUAAUUUAACAAUGUCAAUUGGCUUGGUUUAUUUGUAAGAGAACUUUGAAGAUUUACUGAAAUAAAGUUGUUGAAUUCA